GACGAACGCUGGCGGCGUGCUUAACACAUGCAAGUGGUGCGACGAACCAGGCUUCGGCCUGGGGCAAAGCCGCGAACGGGUGAGUAACACGUGGGUAACCUGCCCCGAUGACCGGGACAACCCGAGGAAACUCGGGCUAAUACCGGAUGUGGCCGCCUCGCAUAAGCGAGGCGACUAAAGAUAGAUUCGGCCUUUGCAUCGGGAUGGGCCCGCGGCCCAUUAGCUUGUUGGUGAGGUAACGGCUCACCAAGGCAACGAUGGGUAGCUGGUCUGAGAGGACGAUCAGCCACACUGGGACUGAGACACGGCCCAGACUCCUACGGGAGGCAGCAGUGGGGAAUCUUGCGCAAUGCGCGAAAGCGUGACGCAGCAACGCCGCGUGCGGGAAGACGGCCUUCGGGUUGUAAACCGCUUUCAGGAGGGACGAAGCGCCCCGGGUUAAUAGCCCGUGGGCGUGACGGUACCUCCACAAGAAGCCCCGGCUAACUACGUGCCAGCAGCCGCCGUAAUAC
rnacentral:rRNA from 1 species